ACGGAAGGCAGCAGUGGGGGAUAUUGCGCAAUGGGGGAAACCCUGACGCAGCAACGCCGCGUGAAGGAAGAAGGUCUUCGGAUUGUAAACUUUGGUACUCAAGGACGAUAAUGACGGUACUUGAGGUUAAGCCACGACUAACUACGUGCCAGCAGUCGCGGUAAUACGUAGGUGGCAAGCGUUGUCCGGAAUGACUGGGUGUAAAGGGUGCGUAGGCGGGGAUGCAAGUCAGGUGUGAAAUACCGCAGCUUAACUGCGGGGCUGCACUUGAAACUGUAUUUCUUGAGUAGAGGAGAGGUAAGCGGAAUUCCCAGUGUAGCGGUGAAAUGCGUAGAUAUUGGGAGGAACACCAGUGGCGAAGGCGGCUUACUGGCCUCAAACUGACGCUGAGGCACGAAAGCGUGGGGAGCAAACAGGAUUAGAUACCCUGGUA
rnacentral:rRNA from 1 species